CAGAAAAAGUGUUCACCGAUCACUCUAAAGCCAUGAUCAUCAAUGUUAACAUGAUGAUCAGACCAUUUCAAACACCUUUCCUCGAUUUCUACGUCCAAAGAAGAAAAACACAGAAAUCCCAUUGCCCCUAAACAAUUGCACUAAAAGAAAGACCCCAAAUUCAAUCAAGUUCCUCCAAAGAGCCAAAACCAAGAAAAUCAAAAUCUUGAUAAUCAAAAACCAAAAUUCGAAAAAUCACACACAAAAAUAAAAUCUUCACAACACAUACAAAUCAAACAGACCAAAACAAGAGAAACCCAAUUCAGUUAAAGGGAUUAGAGAACAAUGCAGGAGGAAGAAAAGACUGAACUAGUGAUUAAAAAAG
rnacentral:misc_RNA from 1 species